UUUGGAUGAUGAACUAAACUUUCACCAUCUUUCGACUGAGAAAAACGUUGAUUGUCAAAUAAGUUUAUAACUGAUUAAA